rnacentral:piRNA from 1 species
UUCUUAAUUUUUAUCCGCAGC